rfam:Strongylocentrotus purpuratus Contig31169_fixed, whole genome shotgun sequence.
GACAUGGUGGCUCAGUGGUUAAAGCGCCCGCCUCAUGAACGGGAGGUCGUGGGUUUGAACCCCGGUCGAGUCA